rnacentral:tRNA from 1 species
UCCCUGGUAGUCUAGUGGUUAGGGUUAGGAUUUAGUGCUUUCGCUGCUGCGGCCAGGAUUCAAUUCCCGAUCAGGGAA